rnacentral:misc_RNA from 1 species
GAUGAAGAACGUAGCGAAAUGCGAUAAGUAGUGUGAAUUGCAGAAUUCCGUGAAUCAUCGAAUCUUUGAACGCACAUUGCGCCCCCUGGCAUUCCUAGGGGCAUGCCUGUUCGAGCGUCAUUAACAACCAUCAAGCGGGACCUGUCUGCCUCGCUUGGCCAUGGGGGAUGGCCGCCCUCGGGGCGCCCACCCCCGAAAUACAACGGCGGACAGCCACCACGGGGCACCCGGGCGUAGAAAGUUGCUCUCGCGCCCGCGCCCACGGAAUGGACUGUCCGGCCGGUCGAACCCCCAACAUCCAAUGGUUGACCUCGGAUCAGGUAGGGAUACCCGCUGAACUUAAGCAUAUCAAUAAGCGGAGGA